GAAAUGCUGCAGAGACCCAGCCGGAAACAGUGCUGGCCAGCUCACGCCUGACCCACCCUUAUUCUAAGCAUAGGGUCUGCCUCUGAAGAGCUAAAGACUUCCUGAAAUUUAAAAAUUAGUGCUUUUAUUUGCUUGUCCUGCUAAGACCGUAGGCAAAGGCCAUCCUCCUCCCAUUGACAGUUUAGAGUGGGCAGAAACAACCACGGUUACCCUAGAAGUAAAUCCAGAGCUGCGGGACGCUGGAGGACAAAACCAACCUUCCAGGGAAGCCGAGGAGAAGUCAUGCCUUCAAAAGGAAUCCUGCCAGUGCCAAAUGAUACGAUGUUUAUUCAGCUCAUGUCUUAGCCCGCUGCUCCUGAGCCACAGAAAUCAAAGGGGAACAUUCAGCCACCACCUGCUGAUCAACGUGUAAACAAAGGGGUAGUCAAGACUGAGGAGGACCAGCUUUUGAGGACAAUCACUGCGUGUUGCUCCAGCUCACAUAAAGGCACGGCUCCUAAGGAACAGGCUUGAGACAUGCACAAGUGCUGUGCCAAGUAGUUCAGGAGCCUGGUACAGCUGUUCCCAAUAUGCCUUUACCUCCUGUUGCCUCUUCUAACCACAAUAGGGUGUGGAUGACAUAGUGCCCUUGCUCCCAGAAGAAACUGGGAAAGUUACAACUCAUUAACCAGUUAGGUUAGUGUUGGAACAGUGCUUGCCACAUUAUUCUGAGAAGCCUCAGAUCCGUGAGGGUGAUGUGGAGCUCAGAACACAUGGCCUGACCCCAUGUGGGGUUUUACUGGAGCAGUUGUUUUGAUCUGUCUUACAUCUGGGGGAUCUGCAAGAGAUUUCGAGGGAUGAGGGCCAGUUCCCUUGCUAAAACUUAGAAUGUUUAAAAAAAAAAAAAACUCCCUUGUACUAUUGAGCUUGGUACAUCUUUCCUUGAAAGGAGCUAAAGUGAAAUAACUUAUAGAUCCUGACAUGCAAUGAGCUGGGUUUUUUUCCAAUUUUCUUUGCUUCUUGUCUCUGAACAUAUGCCUCCUUAUAAUUCUUCCUAUAUGUGUUUGAUAGCAUUGUUCUCUGAGUAAUAGUAACCAUGAGAAGAAUAUCUAACAUUUAUUCCAUGCCUAUUGUGUGCCAUGCCACAUGCUGGGCACUUUAUGUGCCCUUAUCCUACCGGACCCCGCUGCAGCCCUGUGAGUGGAUGGUCCCUCUCUUCAGCUCUCAGGUGACACAAAAACAACAACAACAACAUCCGCAACAGCAACUUCUUCAGUUCAUUUAGUUGGUAAAUUCUGGACUCAGAACUGCAAGCUAGGCAGUAACUCAGAGGUUGAGUUGACUUGAUGUAUAAUGUCACCUUUAAUGUCUACUGAACAAGAGAUGUGUGUGUAUAAGUAAGACGUAAAUUAUUUUUUCAUCUUGAAAAGGAAUGUGCUCAAUAGAGAAAAUCUGAAGUUAAAAAAUAAAAAAACAGGAAGAAAAAAUAACCCAUGAUUUCCCAACUCCAAGACCACCAACUGUUAAUGUGUUAAUGUUUGCGCAUAUUUCCUCCCAGUCUAUUUUUAUGCAUAAUUUUUAGCCCUGCAUAUUUAAAACAGCUGUGAUUGUGCAUAUUUUAUUUUGCUUUUGUCACUUUGUAUGACAAUAUAAUGUAUGAUGAUGUUUUUCAUAAUAUUUCAAAUUCUCUAUAAUUUUUACUGGCUAAAUAUUAGUCUUUUAAGUGGAGUAAUUCAGGUUGACAAAUAUUUAUUGAGCACCUAAUAUGUCCCAGACCCUGUGCUCCACCCUGGGAACACACAGAUAUAUAAAAUUCUGUUCUUUUCUUCAAGAACUAGCAGUCUAGUGUAGAGCAAAGAAGGUAACUAGAUAACUAUGUAGUUAUAAUAAUAGCUACCACUGGCUGGGCAUGGUGGCUUAUACCUGUAAUCCCUGCACUUUGGGAGGCUGAGGCAGGCAGAUCAGCUGAAGUCAGGAGUUUGAGACCAGCCUGGCCAACAUGGUAAAACCACGUCUCUACUAAAAUACAAAAACUAGCCAGGUAUGGUGGCGGGUGCCUGUAAUCCCAGCUACUCGGGAGGCUGAGGCAGGAGAAUCACUUGAACCCAGGAGGUGGAGGUUGCAGUGAGCUGAGAUCGUGCUGCUGCCUUCCAGUCUGGGUGACAGAGCCAGACUCCAUCAAUAAUAAUAAUAAUAAUAAUAAUAAUAAUAAUAAUAAUGAUAGCUACCACUACUGAACAUAUAUGAUGUCCCAGGCACCAUUCACAGGUAUGAACUCACUGAAUCCUCAGAGCAACCUUAUGAGUAGGGAUGAUCACUCUGUUCUUUUUAAUAGCUGUUGAGACUGAGGCAUGCCUUGCUAAUAAGAUGGCAUUGCCCAGUGUGGCAGGUUGAGUAAUGGCUCCCUGAAGAUGUCCACCUUCUAAUCCCCAGUACCUGCAAAUAUUACCUUGCAUCGAAAUUACCUGUAAAGUAAAAUGGUAAAAAUGGAAUAUAAUCUUACAUGGAAAAAAGGGAUUUUGCAGGUAUGAUUAAGUUAAGGAUUUUUUUUUUUUUUUUAAGAUGGAGUCUCACUCUGUUGCCCAAGCUGAAGUGCAGUGGCGCAAUCUCAGCUCACUGCAAACUCCACCUCCCAGGUUCAAGAGAUUCUCCUGCCUAAGCCCCUGAGUAUCUGGGACUGCAGGCACGUGCCACCAUGCCCGGCUAAUUUUUAUAUUUUUAGUAGAGAUGGGGUUUCACUAUGUUGGCCAGGCUGUUCUUGAAAUCCUGACCUCAGGUGAUCUACCUGGCCUCCCAAAGUCCUGGGAUUACAGGUGUGAGUCACCAUGCUCGACCUAAGUUAAGGAUCCUGAUACAGGAAGAUUAUCCUGGAUGAUCUGGGUGGGUCCAAUGUUGAGGAGAGUCCUAAUAAGAGGUAAAUAGUAAUGUCAGAGUCACAGAAGGAAUGUGAUGAUGAAAACAGAGAAAGAGAGAGAGAGAAAGGGCAGAAGAGAAGGAAAGAGAGGCUUGAUGCCACACUGCUGACCUUGAAGACUGAGGAAAGGACCGUGAGCCAAGGAAUGCAGGCAGCCUCCAGAAGCUGGAAAUGAAUUCUCCUCUGGAGCCUCCGGAAAGAACAGAGUCCUGUUAACGCCUUGAUUUUACAACUUUUGACUUCUAAAUUUAUGUUGUUUUAAGCUAUUAAGUUUGUGGUAAUUUGUUAUAACAGCAACAGGAAAUAAAUACACGAGGAUUAAAACCCAGGCAGUUUGACCCUAGUGCCAUCGUUCUUAACUAUGGUCAUAUAUGAGGUUAUUAGCUAUGUCCAGGGUGCUAUGUGAAUCUAGAGAAAUAACACUUAACAGAGAGAUAGGGAAGGACAGAUAGUGUCAGCAAGAUGACAAUCUAGCUCUCUUAAGUGGGGCAGGAGUUACGAAGGCAGUGAAGGAAGGAAGGAUAAGGAAUUGAAUUAACAUAGAAAGAUAUGCAUGAUAUCAUAGGUGAAACUAUUCUACUAUUAUGUAUUUGUUUCCCCAUUUCUGUUUUUAGAAAUAUAUACAUGAGUUUAUUUAUAUUUAUAAUCAUAUGUGCAGAUAAUAUGCUCUUAUAGUGCUCUUUGGGGAGUGGGUUUCUGGGUAAAUGUAAGAGAAGGCUUUACUUUUUGCUUAUAAAUUUUCACAUUAUUUGAAAAUUUCAUCACACAUGUAUUAUGUUGGGCUUACUUUUUUGUAAAAUAAAGUAUGUGUAAUAUAUCAUUUUUCAAAAUUGGAGAAAAUGAUAUGCAUUGCUGGGAUGCAAAUUUUUAUGUAUAAUAUAAAGCUUUGUGCUUCUUUAGUAUAAUUUCCUUAGUAUGAAAAUUUCCUAGAGGUAGAAGUGCUGAACCAAUGGAUACAAUAUUUGGAAAACAUAUUUAAAAAAAAAAGAUAUGGUAGACAAUGGAUAAGCCAAAAUGAAUGUAUGAAGGGAAAGAAGAUAUUGAAGUUGGUAAAGAGAAGACAUGAUAGUUGCCUACUUGUAUGUAAAGGCAGAAACAUGGUAUAUUAGUUUGCUAGGACUGACAUAACAAAGUACCACAAACUGGGUGCCUUAUACAACAGAAAUUUAUUUUCUUACAAUUCUAGAGGGUAGAAGUUCAAGAUCAAGGUGUCACCAGAAUCAAUUUCUUCUGAGGCCUCUCUGCUGGGCUUGUAGAUGGCCGCCUUCUCCCUGCGUCUUCACAUGGUGUCUUUCUGUAGAUGUCUGUGUCCUAAUUUCCCCUUCACACAAGGAUACCAGGCAUAUUGGAUUAGGGCCCACCCCAAUGAUUUCAUUUUAACUUAGUGACCUAAUUAAAGACUCUGUCUCCAAAUACAGUCACAUUAUGAAGUUUUCGGGUUAGGAUUUUAACCUGUGAAUUUUGGGGGAACACAAUUCGCCUUAUAACACAUGGAAAAGAAAGCU
rnacentral:lncRNA from 1 species